UACGUAGGAUGCGAGCGUUGUCCGGAAUUAUUGGGCGUAAAGAGAACGUAGGCGGUUUGUUAAGUUUGGGCUUAAAGACUGGGGCUCAACCCCAGGAGUGGCUCGAAAACUGACAGACUAGAGGAUGGCAGAGGAAGGUGGAAUUCCCAGUGUAGCGGUGAAAUGCGUAGAUAUUGGGAGGAACACCAGUGGCGAAAGCGACUUUCUGGGCCAUUCCUGACGCUGAGGUUCGAAAGCUCGGGGAGCAAACAGG
rnacentral:rRNA from 1 species